UACAGAGGGGGCAAGCGUUGUUCGGAAUUACUGGGCGUAAAGGGCGCGUAGGCGGCCUUCUAAGUCGAACGUGAAAUCCCUGGGCUCAACCCAGGAACUGCGUCCGAUACUGGAAGGCUUGAAUCCGGGAGAGGGAUGCGGAAUUCCAGGUGUAGCGGUGAAAUGCGUAGAUAUCUGGAGGAAUACCGGUGGCGAAGGCGGCAUCCUGGACCGAGAUUGACACUGAGGAGCGAAAGCCAGGGGAGCAAACGGG
rnacentral:rRNA from 1 species